rnacentral:tRNA from 1 species
CCAAGAUUUUGCCCAAAAUGCCCCCAG